AAAACCGGUGAAUAUUUUUCGGUGAAAUUUGGUAGAUAUUCGUUUUCGCUCUUUCUGAACCGAGCGACAUCACUUUUAUGCCAAUUCAUAAACUUUUUUGAAGGUGGGAGGGUCCCUUUAAUCGUAUUUGUGUAAAUUAACGUAUUCUGUCAAAUACCGGCGUCCUAUUUUUGUGCCGUCCAUUCUUAAAAUCAUCAGUUCACUUGCAGACGAUAAUUAGAAGCUUUGCUUCCAAUGGAAUGCACGAAGCAAUGACUGCAUAAUGCAUUCUUUGUUUUAAAAACAAAACUGUGCAAUAAAAAUUGCACAAAACUUGUUCGAUAUCUAAUCUACCUUUGGUGGCUUCAGCUUACCUGACAGUUCAUUUAUGUAUCCACAUUGCUAGGAAGCAUAUCAUCCGUCUAAUCCAAACAUAAACUAUUCUCGUUGUUGAAACUGGUGACGCACAAGCUGACGUAACGUUAGUGGAGACUUCAUCUCAAAAAACAGCCUGCAUGGGCUAAAAUCCCGGGGGGCGCGUAUGGCUCGUAUCAUUUGCGAGGCACGCGACGGGAGCCUUGAGGAGCUUUCCAUGCUAAAGCGCCUCUAAACCCAGGUCUCACUUGGAGAUCGAUCUCACUCGGAGAUCAUGAGUCUGUUGUAGAGUGGCGUCAUUUUACGUCCAGUCCACCGAACCAGUGUGCACAAUUGCUGGCGGUGGAUACCAGACUCCCCCCACGGGUCGUCAUGUGCGAGGCAAGGUCGGGGAUAAGAUAUCACGGCAGCAAUUGAAGAUAAAAUUGAGAUGCUUUAUGUAAAUGCUAUUAGGCUGCUACAUUUGCACAAUGAGUGAGUGCAAAGCUUCUCUUUAAUUGAUAUUUUUCAUUAUUCAAGCAUACUAUUACCUAAUACGUCUGAGUCUACAUUCACUUUAUCCACGAAAAUGCUUCAAAAUCGCGUUUUUCGUCGGUAAAUAGCAUUGUAACCUUGCGUCAGUUGACACACGCUUUCACUGCCGCAUCCGGACUCUCAGUGCAUAUUUGUCUAUGCAUCAUGAGCUUAAGUAUUGUUUCCUUUUUCGUUAGAUCAAGCUUCAACUUCUAGCGCUUAAUCGCUCAUGCCAAGCAAAGUUUGCGGACUUGUUAAAGGUUAAAAGAAAAUAUAUUUCCUUCAACAGAUGUCUAUAAAAUGAGGCUGCGAAUGAGCGGUUUUCUUCUGGCAAUUAUGGUACUAUAGCACGUUGCUGAUGGAAGGCGGUCAAGAAAAAGAUUAUUUGCAGUUGUGCCUCAUCGUCACUUAUUUGCCAAAUGAAAUUUUAAUUGCUGCUGUUAUCCCCGGCUAUAGUGUCUACGGUGGCGAGCUUUCUCCGCGGACCUUCAACUUCAAGACCUUCUACUUCAAGACCUUCAACUUCUUAACAACUAAAGGGAUAUUCUCGUCAUACUGCACUGUCCAUGACGUGCAUGUCGGGUCAUCGACAUGCAUGCUCAAUACCAUUAGUGCACAUGCUGCACCAGACUAUAUUUACGGACGUUGACUGUUUGCUUUAGGCACUGUUUCAAGCAUUGUACGAUGGCCGAUAACAAAAGUAUUUGUUAACGUUUUCAAGUUCCAUUCGGAGUAUCCGAAACUACGACGCAAUGUUAGUCGGAACUAACGUAUCUGGUUAAUCAUGUUAUCGCAUGAUGUUCUUGCUCAUUGGCAAACAUUAUUUCAGCAGUCGAUACGUCCUCCAAACUUCAGUAACUGUUACUAUAUAGUCCCCGUUCGUCACAAACGACCGUUGACAUUUUGUCAACCUCAAAUUCGAAUAUAUUAACCGUUUACACGCACGAGAAUAUCCCUUUAUCCAAACUAGCAAGUGUGUCUACUGUUUUCUUACUAGGCAAACAAAAGUUUGUCACAGCAUGUGCGCAGUUCACUUUACCUAUGUGCAUUCAUACUAAAAGCCAUUCGUCUACAAGCAAGUUAUUUAUUUGCGCUAUUGACGUAAGCUUUCAUGAAGGCCAAACCAAUGCUGAUUCGUCAAUGCUGAUUGUCAGCUUGAAAGUAAAGAUGAGCAAAGUGGUUCAACUGAAUCUUAUGGUUGCAGUAGGGCAUAUUAGAAGUAAGUGACAAGUAUGUGUCAGCAAUUGUUUAUGCUUCUUAACCCUAGAUACUUUUGAUUCAAUCCUUUUGGUGAUGACGUAAUGUGGCAGAAAACAGUAGACACACUUCAUCUCAUCGGAAACCCUGAAUGAUUGGUAUUUGUGAGCAUGUGUGCCUGUGAGUGUGUAAGGGUGGAUGUGGGUGUGUGGGUAUGUAUGUGCGUAUGUGAGGGUGUGCGUGUCAUCUUACACGUAAUUUAGUGAAUGAGUGAAUUGGUACUAGUUUUCAAGUAAAUACGUGCAUGGGUGCGUGUAGUCAGUGGUGUAUGGAACUAGCAUUGUGCCUGCCUGCUGCCAACGAAAUAUGCAAGCCCACACAGAGAAAACAGUUUUAUUGUGCAAAACUACAUGCUGCUGGCAGGGUUUACAUGCAAGUCACAUAUUGCAGGUCUACCAUAAGCAGAGCGAUGUGACAUCUGAUAAGUACCUAACUCACAGCAACACAUACUCUGCAUGUCCAGGGAAAGUGAGUUGUGCUCGGAACAGAUUGGCCAGACAGUUUUGUCCUAUCAAAUUCAGAAUUGUUUCAUCCUCCUCACAGUUGCCAUUAACAUCAUGAGCACACAUUAUUGCUAGAUCUGAAUGCCAGCUGCCUAUUGCACCGCUGGCACGUAGUUUGAGACAAAGAUGCCGCCAGUUUUCCACCUCGCUGCUGAUACAAUGCAAUACUGCUACAAAAUGUCCGUGUUCUGUGUUUUUAGUGUUGUAUGUUUGUAUAUGAGUCUUGCGUCGUGUGAACAUUACCUACAUGAGUUAAAGUGUUCCCGCGAAAGUAGGUACUGAAUUAGCUCAAGCCAGGAUUGCGUUGCGGAUAUAUUUGUAGGCCAUACAAUGUUUUAUGGCGUCAUUUACGACAUUUCCUGUUUUUCUUGUCGUUGUAUGCACGUGAGUUGUGCCGCAUGUUGCGCUUGUAAAUCAUGUUCUCAAUGUCAUUUUCUUUUGGUACAAUUGGUCACCACUACACAUCACUCGCAUACACUCGCCCAAGCAAGUCGGAUAUCAAUCACUGUCCAGAAGUGCAUGAUGCAUUCAACCACGCAUAGAACACUGGCACACCAAGAACAUGAACUCACGCAAAAACGAGAGGGCUAUCACACGACUUCGCAUUGGACACACCGCUAUCACACACAACUACAUCAUCACAAGAAGCCCGAGACCGAAAUGCAACACCUGCAACACUUUCAUCACUGUCAAACAUCUGCUACUCACAUGCCCACAAUACCAACACCACAGGACACACAUACAAACAUACUGCAGAGACGCCAACAUCCCACUAACACUCACAACACUGCUCGGGGACUUACACCCCGAGCUAACAACACUACUCAUCCACUAAAGACACAACACUGGGCUGAUCAAUGACCUGUAAAUCUCCUCCCCUAGAGCCAAGGACAAAAAAGCCAAAAAAGCCAAAAAAAGAAGCAAAAAAGAAAAAACAAUAUUCAAAACAAUGAGAAUCAAAAUAAAAGACCCCAGAAUGGCAAAAUGGCAAAAAAAAAACAAAAACAAAAAAAAAUAAUAGAAGGGGCAAUCCGGCUACCCGGGAGGAGAUAGCUAGGAACCCAGUCCCACCCCUCAGCCCACCCUUACGAGCCAAGAAGACAACGGACACUUCAAGGCAACGGACGGACCAACAACGAAGACGGACGACAGAACCGGGCCCAAAUACAGGACGCUGUGGUGGCCCGUAAGCUACAAAUACCAUACCAUACCAUACCAGUGCAUCAUGCAUCAGAAUAAGCUUCAUUGAACACACUCGUCAUCAUGAACGGCAUCUAGGAGUUUCAUGAGUUUGGAUCUGUGACCAGCUGAUUUCGCAGUAUCCAAUGGCAACCGUGUAUGACCAGGCGCCGCUUGGACGCCUUGUCCAGUCACGUCUUCUGGGACUGUGUGAUGACUGCCUCUGCAUUCUCAAGUGCCAGUUUCUGCCUCCGGCCCAUUUCAUUAUCAAAGGAUGCUGUUAGCUUAACGAACAGCUCUGCUCCAAGAUUCCAAAC